rnacentral:rRNA from 1 species
UACGGAAGGCAGCAGGGGGAAUAUUGCACAAUGGGCGAAAGCCUGAUGCAGCUAUGCCGCGUGUAUGAAGAAGGCCUUAGGGUUGUAAAGUACUUUCAUCGGGGAGGAAAAACAAAACUAAUAAUUUUAUUUCUUGACGUUACCCGAAAAAGAAGCACCGGCUAACUCCGUGCCAGCAGCCGCGGUAAUACGGAGGGUGCUAGCGUUAAUCAGAAUUACUGGGCGUAAAGAGCACGUAGGUGGUUUUUUUAAGUCAGAUGUGAAAUCCCUGGGCUUAACCUAGGAACUGCAUUUUGAAACUGAAAUACUAGAGUAUCGUAGAGGGAGGUAGAAUUCUAGGUGUAGCGGUGAAAUGCGUAGAUAUCUGGAGGAAUACCUGUGGCGAAAGCGGCCUCCUAAACGAAUACUGACACUGAGGGUGCGAAAGCGUGGGGAGCAAACAGGGAUUAGACUACC